UACAGAGGUCUCAAGCGUUGUUCGGAUUCACUGGGCGUAAAGGGUGCGCAGGCGGCCAAGUGUGUGAGGCGUGAAAGCCCGGAGCUUAACUUCGGAAUUGCACCUCAAACUACAUGGCUAGAGCAUUGGAGAGGGUAGCGGAAUUCACGGUGUAGCAGUGAAAUGCGUAGAUAUCGUGAGGAACACCAGAGGCGAAGGCGGCUACCUGGACAAUUGCUGACGCUCAGGCACGAAAGCGUGGGGAGCAAAAGGG
rnacentral:rRNA from 1 species